AUUGAACGCUGGCGGCAUGCCUUACACAUGCAAGUCGAACGGCAGCAUGAUCUAGCUUGCUAGAUUGAUGGCGAGUGGCGAACGGGUGAGUAAUACAUCGGAACGUGCCAUGUAGUGGGGGAUAACUAGUCGAAAGAUUAGCUAAUACCGCAUACGACCUGAGGGUGAAAGUGGGGGACCGCAAGGCCUCAUGCUAUAGGAGCGGCCGAUGUCUGAUUAGCUAGUUGGUGAGGUAAAGGCUCACCAAGGCGACGAUCAGUAGCUGGUCUGAGAGGACGAUCAGCCACACUGGGACUGAGACACGGCCCAGACUCCUACGGGAGGCAGCAGUGGGGAAUUUUGGACAAUGGGCGAAAGCCUGAUCCAGCAAUGCCGCGUGUGUGAAGAAGGCCUUCGGGUUGUAAAGCACUUUUGUCCGGAAAGAAAUGGCUCUGGUUAAUACCUGGGGUCGAUGACGGUACCGGAAGAAUAAGGACCGGCUAACUACGUG
rnacentral:rRNA from 1 species